UCAUGUUUUCUCUGUUUUUUUUCGUCUAAUUUCCUUCCCUCUGCUUUUGUCUGCAUGCUUCAAAGAUACCAUUAUUCAAGAGCAUUUUAUUUUAGGGAUUUCUGCACAGUUCCCUGCAAUUUUUUUUUUGUUUUAUCAGCUGUUUUUCUGGCCGUUCGAUCAUCCUCUAGAUUUGUGUAGAUUGGGCCCACACCCACUCCAUCGGUUUCUUUUUCUCUCCGCCAGCACACGCGCGCAGGGUACUAUUCAAAAUUCACAAACCACGUUCUCAUCUGGUGGGGGGAGAGGGGAAAGGGGAUUUCACCACCGUGGUUGCCGGACUCGCCGGAGCAGCACCGCGAUGCUCUCUCCUUCUUCUCCGGCGGGCAGAGCCCCUAUUCUCGAGUUUCACCAUCAACAGAGAGGAACCCCAUGCAUAGGAUCUAUGGUUGCAGAUCAUAUUUGUUCUGUGGAGUCAGGGAUGAUUGUUGAAAGCAGAGAAGUUGAGAAGGUGGUGGUCGUCGGCGAAUCAUCUGCAGGCCAAAUCGUGGGCAAUGUUGGCGCAACCAUGGGUGGUGUGAUGGCUGGUGGUGUGCUCAAAAACUCCCAGCCAGCUUGCUGUGUGGAUCCCGGGCGAUCUGUACCUUUGAGCAGUAAUGGAGCUGCAACGAUUCACAGGUAUGACGUAUGUCUGCAACAACUACCGAGAAGCCCGCCAUGUAUGCGUAGAAGUAGUAGAAGUGAUGGGCAUCUUCCUCACUAUCAAACUUCAUGUUAACAUAUGGUUUAUGGAGCGAAAAAAAGACUGACAGUGACAAAGUUGGAUCAUCAUUAUUCCUAUAAGAGCUAAUACAUUUGAAAUAUGCUAUUUUUUGAAGAUAAGUCAUGUUACCAAUUUUGUACUGAAAUAAUACAUCAUUUUUAUAUAAGCGGGUAUUAUUGUUUCAAUACAAAUAAUAGAACAACAUACCUUUGUUUGUAGACGAAUCA